rnacentral:rRNA from 1 species
AUUGAACGCUGGCGGCAUGCCUUACACAUGCAAGUCGAACGGUAACAGGUUAAGCUGACGAGUGGCGAACGGGUGAGUAAUAUAUCGGAACGUGCCCAGUAGUGGGGAUAGCCCGGCGAAAGCCGGAUUAAUACCGCAUACGACCUACGGGUGAAAGGGGGGGAUCGCAAGACCUCUCGAUAUUGGAGCGGCCGAUAUCAGAUGUAGGUAGUUGGUGGGGUAAAGGCCUACCAAACCUGCGAUCUGUAGUUGGUCUGAGAGGACGACCAGCCACACUGGGACUGAGACACGGCCCAGACUCCUACGGGAGGCAGCAGUGGGGAAUUUUGGACAAUGGGCGCAAGCCUGAUCCAGCAAUGCCGCGUGCAGGAAGAAGGCCUUCGGGUUGUAAACUUCUUUUGUCAGGGAAGAAAUCCUCUGGGUUAAUACCUCGGGGGGAUGACGGUACCUGAAGAAUAAGCACCGGCUAACUACGUGCCAGCCGCCGCCGUAAAA